rnacentral:rRNA from 1 species
UAAAAAUGUAAAAUUUAAAGCUUAAUUAUUAAUAGUUAUGAUCUUUAAAGUUAAAGAAUUUGGCGGUAUUUUAGUCUAUUUAGAGGAACCUGUUCUAUAAUUGAUAGUCCACGAUUUAUUUUACUUUUUUUAUUUGUUUAUAUAUCGUCGUAGUUUGAAUAUUUUACAAGAAUUUAAAUGUUCAAGAUUCUUUAUAAGGAAGAAAAUCAGAUCAAGGUGUAGCUUAUAUUAAAGUAGUAAUGGGUUACAAUAAAUUUAUUUAUAUGGUAUAAAAAUUUGAAAAAUUUUAUUAAAGUGGAUUUAAAAGUAAUAAAGUUAAAUUUAAUUUUAUGAUUUUAGCUCUAAAAUAUGU